AUGGCGCUGCCUCCUCAAUCCCAUCUCGACCUCCAGCCCCACCCCGCCUCACCGCGCGCCGUCCUCCGCUGCCGCUCGCCGCCCGUCACCGCAGCCGCCACCUCCUGCCCUGCCCCGCCCCGCCGCCACCGCGCGUUGCCCGCCCCCGCUGCCGCAGCGUGCCGCCGGCCGCACUCGCAGCCGCCCCGCUCGGCGCACCCACCUCGCUCGAGGUUGGGCAAGCGGGGAGUAGAGUUCGGGACGGCGGAUCGGAAUCCAUCGACUGAUUCUCUCUUUCUCUCCUCUUUCUUGGAUUCCUGGAGGUGGUGGAUCAAUCUUGCCUUCGUGGUGGCGGCAGAACGAGCCCGCUACGUCCAAGCAGGCCACUUGAUUGAUUUCAUGAGGCUUACUAGCUACGUCCCAAUCAAGAUAGCUGACUUACUAGCUACGUCCCAAGCAGGCCAAUCCAAUAUGUUGAUCAAUUUGAUUGUUCUGGCUGGAGGUCAGGAGUUCAGAAGCAGAAGCUCACAUCGAGGUCUUGGUGUGGGGCUGCUGGGGAAGGGAAUGUCCUUCUACUUAGUGAAAGUCGUUGGUGCGGAGGCUGAUUUUACCUUCUUUCAAAAUCACUCUGGUGACCCAGAGAUAGAUGAAGCUUUAAAGAAGGGAGAAGAUGCUGGGCUUGCCUUGCAUCCUAGCGCACUCAUCAACUUCAGAGUUACCAUUGGGAUCACUUUUCUCAUGAAAUCUGGAAAGAAGCGAGGAUUCUCAAUGCUGGGCAAUUUGAUGAGAAAUUAUCUUCUCUUUAAUGGUCCUGGUUCAGCGUUCACUGCUAUGAAAGAAGAAGGCAUAUAUUUUCCUUGUGGAAUUGCCAGUAGAAUGGCAGUGAGAACAAGUAAAAAUCUACAACAGUAUGACUAUGGUUCCUACUCAAAGUAG
rnacentral:rRNA from 1 species